AGCAGCCGCGGUAAUUCCAGCUCCAAUAGCGUAUAUUAAAGUUGUUGCAGUUAAAAGCUUGUAGUUGAAUUUCGGGAUCAAAGGAUCGGUCAUGCCUUGGUAUGUACUGGUUUUAUUGGUUCUCACCUUCUAAAGAACCAUAAUGUCAUUCAUUUGAUGUUAUGGGGAAUUAGGACUGUUACCUUGAAAAAUUAGAGUGUUUAAAGCAGGCUUACGCUUGAAUACAUUAGCAUGGAAUAAUGAAAUAGGACAUCAGAUUCUAUUUUGUUGGUUUCUAGGAUCGAUGUAAUGAUUAAUAGGGAUAGUUGGGGGCAUUAGUAUUCAAUUGUCGGAGGUGAAAUUCUUGGAUUUAUUGAAGACUAACUACUGCGAAAGCAUUUGCCAAGGAUGUUUCCAUUAAUCAAGAACGAAAGUUAGGGGAUCGAAGACGAUCAGAUACCGUCGUAGUCUUAACCAUAAACUAUGCCGACUAGGGAUCGGAUGAUGUUAAUUUUAUAAUGAUC
rnacentral:misc_RNA from 1 species